rnacentral:rRNA from 1 species
GUGCCAGCAGCCGCGGUAAUACGUAGGGGGCGAGCGUUGUCCGGAUUUACUGGGCGUAAAACGCUUGUAGGCGGCCACGCCAAGUCGGAUGUGAAAUCUCCCGGCUUAACUGGGAGGGGUCAUGCGAUACUGGCGGGCUCGAGGCAGGUAGGGGGAAGCGGAAUUCCCGGUGUAGUGGUGGAAUGCGUAGAUAUCGGGAGGAACACCAGUGGCGAAGGCGGCUUCCUGGACCUGUUCUGACGCUGAGGAGCGAAAGCGUGGGGAGCGAUCCGGAUUAGAAACCCGUGUAGUCC